UUGCUCACUUCAGCAGCACAUAUAUUAAAAUUGGAACGAUACAGAGAUUAGCAUGGCCCCUGCGCAAAGAUGACACGCAAAUUCGUGAUGCGUUCCAUAUUCUU